CUGAGACCGUUCCCAGGCGGUGCCCGAUGCCGAGGUCGUUCCCGAGGCGGUGUCCUUGUCCGAUGCCAUUCCCGAGGCCGUUCCUGAGGCCAUUCCCGAGGCGGUGCCCGAUGCCGAGGUCGUUCCCGAGGCGGUGUCCUUGUCCGAUGCCGUUCCUGAGACCGUUCCCGAGGCGGUGCCCGAUGCCGAGGCGGUGCCCGAGGCCGAGGCCGUUCCAGAGGCGGAGCCCGAGGUCGGGCCCGAGGUCGUUCCCGAGGCGGUGUCCUUGUCCGAUGCCGUUCCUGAGGCCAUUCCCGAGGCGGUGCCCGAUGCCGAGGUCGUUCCCGAGGCGGUGUCCUUGUCCGAUGCCGUUCCCGAGGCCAUUCCCGAGGCCGUUCCUGAGACCGUUCCCGAGGCGGUGCCCGAUGCCGAGGUCGUUCCCGAGGCGGUGUCCUUGUCCGAUGCCAUUCCCGAGGCGGUGCCCGAUGCUGUUCCGGAGGCCGAUGCGCGGCCCGAGAUGGUUCCGGAGGCGAUACCCGUGUCCAAGGCCGUUCCCGAGGCGGUGCCCUUGUCUGAGGCCGUUCCCGAUGCCGUUCCCAAUGCCGUGACCGGGCCAUCGCCACAGCCUGCUCCUUACUGGCUCCCCGAUUGGCUGGUUCCGUUCGGGUCACUCAAAUGGCGAAUUCCUCCCUGGCCGUCUGCACAACGAGAAUGGACUGAUCCACCGUGGCCACCUGAACUGCCUGGCCCCUCGUGGUCCCCUGAACUUUCGGGUCCACCGUGGCCACCUGAACUGCCUGGUCCCUCGUGGUCCCCUGAACUUUCGGGCCCACCAUGGCCCCCUGAUCUGACCGAGCCACCUGGGCUACCAGGGGAGCCAUCGCUGCCGGUCCCAGUUCCCCUACACGGGCCUGGCCCGCCAUCCCUCCCCCUGUUCUGCCUCCACCAGUCCACCUCCCUCCUGGUC
ensembl:lncRNA